CAAAACGGAGAGUUUGAUCCUGGCUCAGGAUGAACGCUGGCGGUAUGCUUAACACAUGCAAGUCGAACGGACUCUUAGGA
rnacentral:rRNA from 1 species